rnacentral:rRNA from 1 species
GACGAACGCUGGCGGCGUGCUUAACACAUGCAAGUCGAACGGAAAGGCCCUGCUUUUGUGGGGUGCUCGAGUGGCGAACGGGUGAGUAACACGUGAGUAACCUGCCCUUGACUUUGGGAUAACUUCAGGAAACUGGGGCUAAUACCGGAUAGGAGCUCCUGCUGCAUGGUGGGGGUUGGAAAGUUUCGGCGGUUGGGGAUGAACUCGCGGCUUAUCAGCUUGUUGGUGGGGUAGUGGCUUACCAAGGCUUUGACGGGUAGCCGGCCUGAGAGGGUGACCGGCCACAUUGGGACUGAGAUACGGCCCAGACUCCUACGGGAGGCAGCAGUGGGGAAUAUUGCACAAUGGGCGGAAGCCUGAUGCAGCAACGCCGCGUGCGGGAUGACGGCCUUCGGGUUGUAAACCGCUUUCGCCUGUGACGAAGCGUGAGUGACGGUAAUGGGUAAGGAAGCACCGGCUAACUACGUG